CGGCGGACGGGUGAGUAACGCGUGGGUAACCUGCCUUAUACAGGGGGAUAACAACCAGAAAUGGUUGCUAAUACCGCAUAAGCGCACAGGACCGCAUGGUCCGGUGUGAAAAACUCCGGUGGUAUAAGAUGGACCCGCGUUGGAUUAGCUAGUUGGCAGGGUAACGGCCUACCAAGGCGACGAUCCAUAGCCGGCCUGAGAGGGUGAACGGCCACAUUGGGACUGAGACACGGCCCAG
rnacentral:rRNA from 1 species